AGUUAAUAUCCAGCUCAAUAGAUUGUCACCAACCAUGUGCCUAGAGCUAACUGUGUUAAGAAGAGCAUGCUUCAAGUGGCUGGAGUGAGCAAUUCAACUUGUGGAGGAAUGAGAAGUGACAGUGUUGAGACAAGCAACAUAAAACCCCAGGGAUGGCUGUGGGGAUCAAGGGAGACAGUGGCCAUAGGGAUACUAUGUUAACUGCAGAUGCGGCUGUAGGAGCACUUUGCUAACUUCCAGCGUGAGUUCAGACUCUUCAGGCUAUUUGGCACCCAGAUCUAUGGUGAGGUGUGACAUAUGGGAUGUAAAGUUUGAUGCCUGCUCCGACUCCAGUCUUGCUAACACACACGAAACCUUUGGUAAAUCAUGACCCUGCCUUGGGGAAAAGGGCAGUCUGGGAGAGCUUCUUCAAGGCAGCCUGGCUUCAAUGCAGUCUGGGGCAUGACUGAGGUAGGCAUACAUGGUGAGGAACUGGAGGGUAACUGGGUAAAGAGCUGCAGUGUGGGCAGAGGUGUAGUGUGGGUCACAUCGCGGAUAGCCACUGGCCAAAGCAGGGAACAGAGACAGAAUGAGGA